CAGCCGCCACGGGAAUACGAAGGGGGCUAGCGUUGUUCGGAAUUACUGGGCGUAAAGCGCACGUAGGCGGAUCGAUCAGUCAGGGGUGAAAUCCCAGGGCUCAACCCUGGAACUGCCUUUGAUACUGUCGAUCUGGAGUAUGGAAGAGGUGAGUGGAAUUCCGAGUGUAGAGGUGAAAUUCGUAGAUAUUCGGAGGAACACCAGUGGCGAAGGCGGCUCACUGGUCCAUUACUGACGCUGAGGUGCGAAAGCGUGGGGAGCAAACAGGAUUAGAUACCCGAGUAGUCCCUGUCUCUUAUAC
rnacentral:rRNA from 1 species